UGUCGUUAAAUUAAUGGCAUAAUAAUUUUCUUUCUGUAAUAUUUAUAAUUUUGUAUAAUUAUUUUACACAUACAAACUUAGAAACAUUAAGAGGUCAUUAAGAGGUAUAAUUCAAUUAGAGAGGAGUAUUUGACAAGCUUUACAGUUGGUCUGACUUUGUUGUGAGAUGAUUGUGGUUGAAAAAAUAGCAGCCGGAGAAAUAACUGAGAUUGAAACAUGUAGAACUGUCUUUUUUUUUUGUCUUUUCUUUUGUUACUUCGUUACUAGCCUAUUACUAAUAAACAAUAGCCUAUUAGUAAUAAACAAUGGCUCCUCUUAGAGUCCUCCUCCUACACUUCUAUCUCCUGCUGGACACUGAUUUUAAAGACUAAAGCAAACAGUACAGACCGCCCUCUGUCUUCCUCUCCGUCUCGGCAAACUCCAUAGCUGGACACUUAUUCUACUUAUCAUUCCAUCUCAAAUUCAUCUCCGCUGAAGUGUUAUCUCAUCUGUUUCGAGCCAACCGCAGUUCCUCUACACACAACCUCCGUCCAAGGUCCUGCAUCUGAAGAAUUUGCCAUGGGAAUGCACUGUGGAGGAGCUGAUUGAACUUGGUAAACCAUUUGGUAAAGUUGUCAACACCAAGUGUAAUGUUGGGGCCAACCGAAACCAAGCUUUUAUUGAAUUUGUUGAGUUAAAUCAAGCUAUAGCGAUGAUAUCAUAUUUUGCUUCAUCAUCAGAAGCGGCUCAGGUCCGAGGGAAAACUGUCUACCUACAGUAUUUUAAUAGGCAAGAAAUAGUGAACAACAAAACUACUGCAGAUGUUGCUGGAGACGUUGCAGAUCGCCGAGAACUUAGUAGCUUAACAUAAAAUACAAACAAAGAGGCGAAGAAAGAACUGAAAGAGUUACAAGCUGCUCGAAGAAUUACUUAUGAAAUUUGGCAAUUUUGCCUGGAGUAGGAGCAACUUUAGGGGAAGUUUGCCGAGAAUAUCUAAAUGGACGGUGUGCAAAAAGUGAUUGCAGAUUCAAUCACCCACCGCACAGUUUGCUGAUGACUGCAUUAGCUGCCGCAACCACCAUGGGAACUCUCAGCCAGACUGUACCAGUUAAUCCCCAUUCUUGAACAAUUUAACCGGAAAGCAUGUCAUAGUCAAACUGAAGUGGGGAAUGGAAUACAAAGGUAAUGGCUUAAUAUUGGGUUAUUUUAAGCCCAAUACAGUAUAUGCUAGGUUUUCAUAGUGUUACAACUGACUACUAUAUUUAUCGAUAUUCGGCAUCUCUUUUAGCUUUAUAUCAAUCUGUGGUAAAAGAAUAAAAAAUGCGUGCUAUAGAUUUAUAGCAGCUAGCUUAAACUUAAGAGAGUAGCUAGGGACAUCCAGCCAAAUGCGAAAGAUGGUUGUAGUCCAUUGUGUUGAUGGACUAGAAGAAUGUUAAUUUCCAAUUUCUGGUAUAUAUAAUCGAGGCGUUGUAGAUCUGAUGGUGGGGAUUGGAUGGCUGCUCUUGUGUGUUUGUUUGCUAUCUUCUUCUUUUGUUUAUACAUUAGUUGCAUUUUUUCAUAUAGUUUCAAAUUUCUUAUUUGAUCUUUUUAGAAGUCUCUGUUUUUAAGUAAAAAACAACUGGUUGUGCUUUCAGCAUUCUUUCCACUUUGUUGUGAAUUUUUCAAAGUUAUUGUUAGAUCUUUUGAGAAGUCUAUCUUGUGAGUAAAAAUAAUUUCUUCCAUGAUUAUGCCGUACUUAGUUGGGAAUUGGGAUAACAAGCUUGCAGGAGCUCAAGUAAGUUGUAUUACAGUCUUGGUACUUGCUUUUAACAUCAUGCAAUAUCAUAUUAUUAUGCAUUUGUUCCUUGAUAGCAAACCAAGAUCAUGAUUGGCAAGUUCAUCAUGCGAUGUUUUUGCUAUGUGAUUGAUAAUUUAUUGAACUUCUUCAUCCUGUACAGACAUUUACAACUUAAGAAGCAAGAGGGAAAUUUAGUUGUUUGUUAAAUUCUGAGCAUUGUCAUAGGUAACUUUUUAGGGGUAUUAACUGGUGAAUGGUGAGAAAUUCUUUAUUUAUGGCUUCCAACAUGCAAGAACGUGGUUGUUAUUUGCUGAAUGGAAGUGUUUUUAUAGUAAUCUUGAGCUGUAAAUUGUAAUUAAGUACUUGACUCAUUUUAGCUUUUCUUUUGUUUUGAAUAUUUCAGCCAAAAUCAGUUAGGAGGAAAUUUAGUCACCGAUAGUCGAAUGUUAUAGCAUUUGAGUCUUUAUUUCAACAUUGUUAACAUUGUUUGGUGACAUGGAUAUUUAAUAAAAGAUUUCAAUUUACAGUGAUCAAGUCUUGCUUCGACAUGAUUUGCACAUCUGUAAUAUUCAACUCAUGAGCUGAUUGGAGAAUCCGGUUGUACUUUGAUGUACUAGAUGAUCAUUAUAGUCAUUGUUUAAAUUUAAUGUUUGCAAUUUCAACUUUGAGCACGAUUGGAUAGCCCAGUGGUGGGUUUAUCCUCUGUUGUCUCGGGACACCCGGGUUCGACUCUGGCUCA